GACGAACGCUGGCGGCGUGCUUAACACAUGCAAGUCGAACGGAAAGGCCCUGCUUUUGUGGGGUGCUCGAGUGGCGAACGGGUGAGUAACACGUGAGUAACCUGCCCUUGACUUUGGGAUAACUUCAGGAACCUGGGGCUAAUACCGGAUAGGAGCUCCUGCUGCAUGGUGGGGGUUGGAAAGUUUCGGCGGUUGGGGAUGGACUCGCGGCUUAUCAGCUUGUUGGUGGGGUAGUGGCUUACCAAGGCUUUGACGGGUAGCCGGCCUGAGAGGGUGACCGGCCACAUUGGGACUGAGAUACGGCCCAGACUCCUACGGGAGGCAGCAGUGGGGAAUAUUGCACAAUGGGCGGAAGUCUGAUGCAGCAACGCCGCGUGCGGGAUGACGGCCUUCGGGUUGUAAACCGCUUUCGCCUGUGACGAAGCGUGAGUGACGGUAAUGGGUAAAGAAGCACCGGCUAACUACGUG
rnacentral:rRNA from 1 species